rnacentral:rRNA from 1 species
CUCCAAUAGCGUAUAUUUAAGUUGUUGCAGUUAAAAAGCUCGUAGUUGGAUUUCGGUUGGAAGCGGCCGGUCCGCCGUUUGGUGUGCACUGGCUGGUUUCAACUUCCUGCCGAGGACGCGCUCCUGGGCUUAACGGUCUGGGACGCGGAGUCGGCGUGGUUACUUUGAGUAAAUUAGAGUGUUCAAAGCAGGCCACCGCU